rnacentral:rRNA from 1 species
UGGGGAAUCUUCCGCAAUGGACGAAAGUCUGACGGAGCAACGCCGCGUGAGUGAAGACGGCCUUCGGGUUGUAAAGCUCUGUGAUUCGGGACGAAAGGCCAUAUGUGAAUAAUAUAUGGAAAUGACGGUACCGAAAAAGCAAGCCACGGCUAACUACGUGCCAGCAGCCGCGGUAAUACGUAGGUGGCAAGCGUUGUCCGGAAUUAUUGGGCGUAAAGCGCGCGCAGGCGGUCACUUAAGUCCAUCUUAGAAGUGCGGGGCUUAACCCCGUGAUGGGAUGGAAACUGGGAGACUGGAGUAUCGGAGAGGAAAGUGGAAUUCCUGGUGUAGCGGUGAAAUGCGUAGAUAUUAGGAAGAACACCGGUGGCGAAUGCGACUUUCUGGACGAAAACUGACGCUGAGGCGCGAAAGCGUGGGGAGCAAACAGG